rnacentral:miRNA from 1 species
AUUGUUUAUAUGUAAUGUAUAAUUAAGAAAUACAGGUUAUGGGCUGGAGAGAUGGCUCAGCCAUUAAAGGCUAGGCUCACAACCAAAAAUAUA